GUUAACUGACAUGGAAAGGGGGGUAUGUCAUAUGCAAACCUUUUAGAACGGCUGAUCCACUGAACUCCCUCCGUUAAGGAGAGCACCGUUUCCUCACCUGUGGUUGCCGUUGGAAUCCUGAUAACCAGCUUAGUAUCGUGAUGCGACGUCUACAGCUGUUGUAUCACCUGUCCGUGAUACUAGCACUGACCAUUGUCCAGCUACGGCCAGUGGUGGCAGAUAUCGAUGACGGCGCCCUCCUUGGAUGUGGAUUGAUUAACUUCUACUUUUAUCGUAAGGGAGUCGAACAGGGAAAGAGUAACAACGAAAACAAAGGAGCUAUCGACCUGGUAACAGCGAUUUGUACCCAGGAAAAUUUGGCAAGUCCACAAAACAUUCCGGAAUGUGUGAGAUGUCGGCUGAUUGCAAACCCUGCGCAGUGCGUCGCUCCGUGUAACCUGAUAUUGACACCCCUUUGUACAGCUUAAUCAUGAUUUUGGCGUAACUGUCUUAAUAUACCAACAAAAUCGAUGAAAUAUAUUUUUAUUUCUUUUGGAACCCACACAAAAUACUGACAUCCAAAAGUUAAUAUCCUGAAGCUCAACCUGUCAUCAACAAAAUUCAAUUGGAUUUUCUGCUAUUAUUUAUUUAGAAUAUGUUCAACCUGAUGUUAUAAAUAAAUAUCAAAUGCUUUUACAACUGUU